UUCUUCCUUCAGUCGCCAGACCUCGAGCAGAGAGGAUGAGGACGCGGGGGAAGGGGAGGAGGCGGUUUUGCUCGUCGGAGGCUGCCUUCCCCUUCCGGUGAGCCCCCCUUUCAUUUUCUGGUUACCCCGUCCUCCCUCCUCCGUGGACGGCCCUCGCGGGGUCAGCGUCCUCGUGGCUGCUCAACCUCGAUGGCGACGACGCGGCGAGCGCAGGGCGCGGCCCUCGAAGCGCCUCCGGGAAAAUCUAGAACCCCCCUCCCCCCCGGAAGGUCGUCUCCGAGGUCGCGGCCGUCGGGCGUCCGUCUGCUCCGACCCGCAUUAUGGCGUCUUUUCCUCGUCGGCGGUGGAGGCUUCUUCUCUUCCCCGUCCGGAGAGAGGUCAGGUGGUUUCUGCAUUUGUGCUCGUCGGCGGCGAAGUUUGUCCGGUCCGCGGCAUCAGAGGCGGCCGCUUUCUCUUCAAUUUUCCUCAGAUCUGGUCGAUGGCGGGGUAUGCUCGCGUGCGUCUGGAGAGAGCUUUCUAGACGGCAUGCUAUGGGCUGGCUGGCUUUUGAAGUUGGUCCUCUAUGGAUCUGUUGAAUACUAUGUAGUAUCAUGGGCACUAACCAAAUGUCAUUUUUUGAGAAGGCUGGGAGGAGUGAUAUUGCAGUCAUCCAAGAAAACUGUUGGAGAAGCAUUUUUGUCCUAAGCUCCAGAAACUACCUGCAGUAGCGGCACAAACAUUGUCCGGGCUUAGGAGAGUUAAAAAGUAUGUUUUUCCUUGCCUUUUCUCUUCAUUUUCCUGUUGUUUUAUGUUCCUCAGAUCAAAGAAUCAAUAGGAGGGAUGGUGUGUAUCCAAAUCUGAAGGUUGACAAUCCACGGGUUCCUCAUAGCCUAGGUUGUUUUCCUUUAGUUUUUUUUUUGUCCUCUGUUUCUUCUCCUUCAAGCUGAACUUGAUCGACACCUACAACUCUCACGUCAUCCUUUCCAUAUCAGAAGCAUGGCCAUGAAACUCUCUUCUGCAGUUUUGGUAGUGCAAAAAGCUGUUGAUUUUCAGUUAUCAACCUGAAUAUCAAUCUGAAUACCAGUUUUGCACCACAUUCUCAAUCUGAAUCUCAUUCUCGCAUCUUUCCGCUUUGCCAUACCUUCUUCUACUCUUUUGCCCCUUUGUUUUGAGUUGGCUUAUUUAGUUAUUUUGUUCUCCACUCUAAGCUUAUUUUUCCUCAAGGAAGCAGAGCUUGUAGUUGUAAGCAUAUGAAUUGGUAUCUUUUGAUUAUUUUAACUUGCAUUUUUUUUCAUGUAUGGGCUGAGAGGAAAUAGCAAGGGGACAAGAUUGGGGUAUAUUAGAAAUUGGAAGAGUUGUUGCAGGCCGAAUUCUCAGUUAAGUUUUCGGUGUCUUACAAAUUUUCAGCAAAGCCACUUUAUCUGAUAUUUCAUAUUUUUUUUGGAAGACUAUCAUUUUGAAUGAAUGAUCUCUUUUCAGUAAAGAUAAAUUUCAUUACGUUGUGAGCUCUCUGAAAUUAUCUUUGCAUCUCAAAACAACUAGUAGAUAACUUGUAUUUUGGACGAGACAUACCUGGAUACUAAUAGCUAUUAGUUGUAACUACCUGGAUGGGGAACCAUGUGUAACAUUCUUUUCUUGUCAGAUUGUUCUACUGUUUUUUUGCCUUCACCUAGGCUCAGAAAAAGUUUGUAUAAACAAGGAGUAGUCUGUUACCAAUAGGGUUCACAGGAAUUGAAAAAUAACAAAUUUUGCCCAGAUCGCAGAGUUAUCUUUGUACACGCAAAUGGCCACACAAUCAUUUAAUCGGUCUUCUUCUUCUAGACAACAUAUUUAAGAACAACAAAGCUUGUAGUUUCAGUCAGGCAACUGAUUUUUUUGAUCGCUUUUAUCGCCGGUGGGUGUGGGUGGCGGAUGUGGCGAGGUGUUUGAUGCAGAAGUUGUUGUUUGUUUUCUCUUCCAAUCCAAUCCCCUGCGGCCUGGUCUGGUUGGUCUCCGGAUGAAGGUGUGACGGAUGGUAGAGAGUGUGGAAGAUGAAUCAAUCUCAGCAGUUCUCUGUUCGAGCUCUUUACCACCUUGAGAACUUUGGCGGGGUUCUUGAUCAAGCUGCCUCCACAGUCUGGAGUUGUUCGGCCCCAAACAAGAACAAGAUUUUUGCUUGGCUCUGGGUUAAAGGGAGGAUUAAAGUUAGAUCGAUGCUCCUUAAGCAACCCAUUCUUGUCUUCGAUGGUUGUCCCUUUGGAUGUAAUGUCAGUGAAACGACAACUCAUCUCGCAAUUCGCUGCCCCCGUUCGGCGCAAGUUUUUCAGAUGCUUGGUAUUGAUACUACUGGUGUUCAGAGGGUCGGUGAUCUCUUCACUUUGGGUAAGGAUCAUACCGCUCCCGAUAAAAGCGAAGCCUGGGAGGUGGUUGUGAUUACCAUCUUGUAGAAUACCUGGUUGGCUCGCAAUAGUAAAGUGUUUGAUGAUCGCGUUGUUCCGCCUUCCGUUGUGGUGAGGCAGUGCGUUGUGGCAAGCUGCUCUCAGAUGGAUUGAAGACUGGCUGGAUUAGCUAGUAUCUCUUAGUUUUAUUUCCUUCUUUGCUCUACUCUCUUUCUCUGCAUGUAUCCUUUUCUCUGUACAUUUCCAUCCUCUCAUGUUGUAACUUUGAACCUUCUGGUUCCCCUUUUAAUUAAUAUAUUAAAGUAGGGGCCUCCCCUCCCGAUUUCGCUAAAAAAAA